rnacentral:lncRNA from 1 species
CACACGUUCUUCGGGAAUGUCAUCAAAGUCAGCAGAGAUCCGGUCUAGGAUGGUCCAGUCUGGAAGAGAAGAGAUCUCUGGUCCAGUGAUGAAGAACCAUUUCUCGUGCCAGCCUGUGUUGCUCGAAGGGGUGCUCAUCAGGGGCCUCUUCUCGAAUUUAGAGUUUGGGCGUGGAGAUUGUUUGCUCAGCAUCUUAAACCCUCGUUCUCAGGAUCUACCGGCGGAGAAAAGGGUGAAGAAAAGGUCGACGGAGGGAGUAACCCCUAGCUCGUGGCAGAAGGCAAUGAAUGUCAGUAUGUGGAUAUAGGAGUUGGGCACCAGCUGAGCAAAGCCCACUCCUAUGAACCCUAGGAGAGUGACGACGAAGGCGUGAAGGGGUAGGCGAAUCCCCUUUUCCAGAAAAGUGGCAG